UACGGAGGGUGCAAGCGUUAUCCGGAUUCACUGGGCUUAGAGGGUGCGUAGGCGGGCAGGCAAGUCCGUGGUGAAAUCUCUGAGCUUAACUCAGAAACUGCCAUGGAUACUAUUUGUCUUGAAUAUUGUGGAGGUAAGCGGAAUAUGUCAUGUAGCGGUGAAAUGCUUAGAUAUGACAUAGAACACCAAUUGCGAAGGCAGCUUACUACACAGUUAUUGACGCUGAGGCACGAAAGCGUGGGGAUCAAACAGG
rnacentral:rRNA from 1 species